rnacentral:rRNA from 1 species
UACGUAGGCAGCAAGCGUUGUUCGGAGUUACUGGGCGUAAAGGGUGUGUAGGCGGUUGUUUUAAGUUUGGUGUGAAAUCUCCCGGCUCAACUGGGAGGGUGCGCCGAAUACUGAAUGACUAGAGUGCGGGAGAGGAAAGUGGAAUUCCUGGUGUAGCGGUGAAAUGCGUAGAUAUCAGGAGGAACACCGGUGGUGUAGACGGCUUUCUGGACCGUAACUGACGCUGAGACACGAAAGCGUGGGUAGCAAACAGG